rnacentral:tRNA from 1 species
GCGCCCGUAGCUCAACGGAUAGAGCAAAUGAAUUCUAAUCAUUAGGUUGUGGGUUCGAUUCCCGCCGGGCGUA